GGCUACCUUGCUAUUGCUGUGCACAAGGGUGCAAGAACAACAUCAACCAUCCAAGAGCUAAGCCAUUGAAAGAUUUCAGGACCCUUCAAACGCAUUACAAAAGAAAGCAUGGAGCAAAGCCAUUUAUGUGCAGAAAAUGUGGGAAAACAUUUGCAGUUAAAGGAGAUUGGCGAACCCAUGAAAAGAAUUGUGGAAAGCUAUGGUAUUGUACUUGUGGUUCAGAUUUCAAGCACAAAAGAUCACUCAAAGAUCACAUUAGGUCUUUU
rnacentral:misc_RNA from 1 species